AUUGAACGCUGGCGGCAGGCCUAACACAUGCAAGUCGAACGAGUGGCGGACGGGUGAGUAAUGUAUGGGAAACUGCCCGAUGGAGGGGGAUAACUCCUGGAAACGGUAGCUAAUACCGCAUACCAUCGGAUGUGCCCGGAUGGGAUUGGCUAGUAGGUGGGGUAAUGGCUCACCUAGGCGACGAUCUCUAGCUGGUCUGAGCGGAUGACCAGCCACACGGGAACGUAGACACGGUCCAGACCCCUACGGGAGGCAGCAGUGGGGAAUAGUGCACAAGGGGCGCAAGCCUUAUGCAGCCAUGCCGCGUGUAUGAAGAAGGCCUUCGGGUUGUAAAGUACUUUCAGCGGGGAGGCGUUACCCGCAGAAGAAGCACCGGCUAACUCCGUGCCAGCAGCCGCGGUAAUUC
rnacentral:rRNA from 1 species